AGAGUUUGAUUCUGGCUCAGAUUGAACGCUGGCGGCGCGCUUAACACAUGCAAGUCGAGCGAGAAAGGUUUCUUCGGAAGCUGAGUACAGCGGCGCACGGGUGAGUAACGCGUGGAUGAUCUGACCUUACCACUGGGAUAACAGCGGGAAACUGCUGCUAAUACCGGAUGCACUGCAUAAUCAUAUUUUGCGGCAAAGGUGGCCUCUGCAUGCAAGCUGCCGGGUGAGGAGGAGUCCGCGUCUUAUUAGUUUGAUGGUGGGGUAAUGGCCUACCAUGGCGACGAUGAGUAGCCGGCCUGAGAGGGUGGCCGGCCACACUGGAACUGAAACACGGUCCAGACUCCUACGGGAGGCAGCAGUGGGGAAUAUUGCGCAAUGGGCGAAAGCCUGACGCAGCGACGCCGUGUGAGGGAUGAAGGCCUUCGGGUCGUAAACCUCUGUCAGGAGGGAAGAAACGCAUGGAGAGGAAAUACUCUGUGCCUGACGGUACCUCCAGAGGAAGCACCGGCUAACUCCGUGCCAGCAGCCGCGGUAAUACGGAGGGUGCCAGCGUUAAUCGGAAUUACUGGGCGUAAAGCGUACGUAGGCGGUUAUCCAAGUCAGGUGUGAAAUCCCUCGGCUCAACCGGGGAACUGCACUUGAUACUGGGUAACUGGAGUUCGAGAGAGGGUGGCGGAAUUCCGGGUGUAGGGGUGAAAUCCGUAGAUAUCCGGAGGAACACCAGUGGCGAAGGCGGCCACCUGGCUCGACACUGACGCUGAGGUACGAAAGCGUGGGGAGCAAACAGGAUUAGAUACCCUGGUAGUCCACGCUGUAAACGAUGGAUACUAGGUGCUGGGGGCAUGUCUUUCGGUGCCGUAGCUAACGCGUUAAGUAUCCCGCCUGGGGAGUACGGUCGCAAGGCUGAAACUCAAAGAAAUUGACGGGGGCCCGCACAAGCGGUGGA
rnacentral:rRNA from 1 species